rnacentral:rRNA from 1 species
UGGGGAAUAUUGGACAAUGGGGGCAACCCUGAUCCAGCCAUGCCGCGUGUGUGAAGAAGGCCUUUUGGUUGUAAAGCACUUUAAGCAGUGAAGAAGACUCCAUGGUUAAUACCCAUGGACGAUGACAUUAGCUGCAGAAUAAGCACCGGCUAACUCUGUGCCAGCAGCCGCGGUAAUACAGAGGGUGCAAGCGUUAAUCGGAAUUACUGGGCGUAAAGCGAGCGUAGGUGGAUUGAUAAGUCAGAUGUGAAAGCCCCGGGCUUAACCUGGGAACGGCAUCUGAUACUGUUAAGCUAGAGUAGGUGAGAGGAAGGUAGAAUUCCAGGUGUAGCGGUGAAAUGCGUAGAGAUCUGGAGGAAUACCGAUGGCGAAGGCAGCCUUCUGGCAUCAUACUGACACUGAGGUUCGAAAGCGUGGGGAGCAAACA